GUUGAUUUCAGGUGCACUCCCUGUUUGACAUCCUGCAUGCUAAGCUCUGUCUCAUAGUCUGCUUACCAGGGAAUCCUACCUGAGAAGGUGUCAGGGGUGGUACUGAGAAAACAGAUGCUUGAAUUUUGGAAGAGAAACACCUGCCAACUGACAGGCACUGAGGACUCCAACACUGAUGGAAUGUGACCCAAAACGAAACCACAUUUUCCAGCCUCCUCUGAAGUUGGUUGAAGCCAUAUGACUGAGUUAUGGCCAAUAGAAUGUGAGCAGAUAUGAUGUAAGAUCCAAGAACAGAACUACCUGACUCCCACAUUAAAAUCCUCUUGAGAAAUUCUCCUGCUGAGCUUGUCUCCCAGCCACGUCUAUACAUGUGCCUCUGUGGAUAGUACAUUAAUACCACUCACAGUAGAAGGUAUUGUUCUUUAUAGUUAGUCAAAUUAAUUAUUUGAACACCCCAGGAUGUACAACAUGAAAGAACAGGUUUAUAGAUAUUCAGGGCACUAUAUAAUAUGCCACGGUGAAUUAUUGACUCUAAUGAGAACAUCUUUAAAAGACUGAACUCCCAGGGGUGCAGGCUGAAGAAUUGGGAGGAGGGGCUCAUACGUUAAAUCAAUAAUUAGGAAGAAAGGAGGAAGAGAGACAG